rnacentral:rRNA from 1 species
CACUUUCAACAACGGAUCUCUUGGCUCUCGCAUCGAUGAAGAACGCAGCGAAUGCGAUAAGUAAUGUGAAUGCAGAAUUCAGUGAAUCAUCGAAUCUUUGAACGCACCUUGCGCCUCUUGGUAUUCCGAGAGGCAUGCCUGUUCGAGUGUCA